rnacentral:rRNA from 1 species
CCUACGGGGGGCAGCAGUGGGGAAUAUUGGACAAUGGGCGAAAGCCUGAUCCAGCCAUGCCGCGUGUGUGAAGAAGGCCUUCGGGUUGUAAAGCACUUUCAGUGGGGAAGAAAGCCUUGGGGCUAAUACCCUCGAGGAAGGACAUCACCCACAGAAGAAGCACCGGCUAACUCCGUGCCAGCAGCCGCGGUAAUACGGAGGGUGCGAGCGUUAAUCGGAAUUACUGGGCGUAAAGCGCGCGUAGGCGGUCUGAUAAGCCGGUUGUGAAAGCCCCGGGCUCAACCUGGGAACGGCAUCCGGAACUGUCAGGCUAGAGUGCAGGAGAGGAAGGUAGAAUUCCCGGUGUAGCGGUGAAAUGCGUAGAGAUCGGGAAGAAUACCAGUGGCGAAGGCGGCCUUCUGGACUGACACUGACGCUGAGGUGCGAAAGCGUGGGUAGCAAACAGGAUUAGAUACCCCAGUAGUC